AAACUAAAAGGCUGGAAGGGAGGCAGCUGCCUUUGUUUGCCAUGGAUGGGUAGGGGCUGCACUGAGCAGCACCGGUGUUCUUCAUCCGGCUGCACCCCCAACAGAGCUCUUUCUUCCCCAGAUCCCUUUUACAGUUGGAUUCUCCCUCUUGGAUCUGGCUCUGCCUUAGUCCGACCUAGAGGGAUCAGCUUCGCCCACGCCCACUCUCACCCGGAACCUUUCAUCUCUUAUUGAAGCCUUUUAGGCCCAUUGGGAUGUUCAUUAGAACUCUGAAAACUACAGUUCUCCCCUUUAUGAGGACUGCACCACAGCUCGCCCUCUCCUGGGUUCCGGUAAGAAGAGAUUCCAAUACCACUCUUUUUUCAGAAUUCAGAAAGGCAAGAGACCACCUUACUGAGCUUCAAACUGGGGCUGGGAACGCUGCCAUGAAUUGGGCUUGGUCUGUCUGAAGGGAGCCACCUUUUCGACAAUCCUUAGACUUCUUUUGCCUGUUGGAAUUACACCUUGGAUCGUGGCGAAGUCUAUAGAGGUCAGAUUAAGAAGAACCAAAGCAGAAUAAACGUAGAACCCGAUGCUGAGUUCACGAGUGAGGACGACCUCUUCCUAUAUGCUUUGCUAUACCCUGCGUUUUGAACAUUAAGGACGAGAUAGGAGGCCCAUAAUGUUUCUUCUUGCUUUAAUCCUGUCGUGGCAACGUUGACUUCCAGGUCUCAGUUUGUUGUCCAGGCCAGAGUGCAGUGGCGCAAUCUCGGCUCACUGCAGCCUCAACAUCCUAGGCUCAAGCCAUCCUCCCACCUCACCCUCCCGAGUAGCUGGAAGUACAGGCUCGUCUUGAACUCUGGGCUGAAGUCAUCCACCUGCCUCGGCCUCCCAAAGUGCUAGGAUUACAGGCCUUAGCCACCUCACCUAGUCCUCUGAAAUUUCUAAAUAAGCCAGUGCUGAAGGAUCUAGCCCAACUUCUACCAAACUUUGUUACCUUUUCCCCUUCAGUGGUAGGAAUAGACAUGAUUUAUUUAGCAAGGGUGAGUGCUUUUGUUGAAUUUUAGUUUGGGGUUUAUUAUUACACAAACUAAAGACAGCGGGGCAAUUUGGAAAGAUAACUAGGCAGCUGCAUGACUUCAGGCAGGUGUCCUAACACUGUACUCUUAAAGUGAGGGGAGUGAACUGGAAGAUAUCCUGUGUCCUCAUAGUUUGAACAUUCUGUGGUUCGCUCAUCAAUAUGACUACACUGUAUAGUCAUAGCACACAUUUGAGGUCUUGAAGAAGAGAGAUGAGGCUUGUUCUAAAAAGCAUCCAGAGUAGGUCUUGAAAAAGGAUUUCUGUUUAAGUAAAGACCUAAAACAAUGCUCAGAUUCCUAUUAUACAUAGGAUCCAUGAACUGGAAAAGAUAUGGAUGAGUCUGAGUAAAUUAUCUAGGUUUUGUUUUAGACAAAACCAUUCCACUGUCAAGCAGCAGAGAGCAAGGGAGUGGGGAUGGAGGUAUAUUGUGUUUUUUUAAAGGCCAUAAGAAAAUAAUUGUCUUGAUAAAAUUUUAACUUAGGACUGGGUAUGGUGGCUCGUGCCUGAAAUCUCAGCAGUUUGGGAGGCUGAGGCAGGAGGAUCACUUGAGCCCAGGAAGGAGACCAGCCUGAGCAACAUGGCGAGACCCCUAUCUCUACAAAAAAUGUUAAAAUUUGCCAGGCAUGGUGGUGCAAGCCUGUAGUCCCAGCUGUUUGAGAGGCUGAGGCAGGAAGAUUGCUUGAACCUAGGAGGUCAAGGCUGUAGUGAACAGUGUUUGCUAUACCACAUUCCAAUCUGGUGACAAAGCAAGACCCUGUCUCAAAAAAAAGAAUUUUUUUUAACUUGAGGGAAAAAAAGUUUUACAAACUGUAGACACACAGCAAAACAGAAACAGGAAAAAAAGUACUAAAAAGAGAAAAAUGUCAGUAGUGGGUCUCUAAGUAGUCGGAUUAUGAGUAAUUGGCCUGGUUGCAGAGUGAGCCCAUGGGACAGCCCUCUGAAAUUAUACUGCUUACAACCAUGCUGAGUCUGCAAGGACUUCGUCCAAGCCUUUCCGUCCAGGACCUCAA
ensembl:lncRNA MAP3K9-DT MAP3K9 divergent transcript